CUGCAAACCCAUUGCAAUUCGUACAGCUCGAGCGAAGGCUCAGACAAGCACUCCGGUCUGGCUGCUCAUCGCUGCAUUUCACUUGGCAUGUAGGCUAUGGACGAGGAAUGCACAGAAUUUCCUUUUCCACCCCAUCAGAUCCUCUGUCUUGAGCCUGGCCCGGCCCCAAGAGCACAACGGAUGCAGCUGGAGAAGGGCAGGUCCAAUCUUGCUGCCGAGCUCCAGUGACACUUAACCUCCUCCGCUGGGUGAUCUGCUUGCAGCUGGAGGUGGAUGCUGACGAGGCUGAUGAGCAUCAGCCUGCCGAAUUGUUAGCGAAGGGAGCAGAGCUUAUUUAUUCGGCUGGAGGAGGUGGUGGAGGCUAGGGCUCUUGUGAGAGGAGGUGACCUUGAAUCUCGGUGAAGGUGGUCUUUGGUUUCGCAUCGUGGUUUCUCCAUUGGUGCUCCUGAGCAGCUGUAUCCUGUGUCACAGAGAGAGGCAAAAUGGCAAAGAGAAAAAGGAUCAAUUUUAAGCUGGUCAAGUUAGGCUGGAGAAGACCAGACAGCCUGAGCGGAGGCAGAUAGAUUGGGGAAUCCUUCUCCAUCCUGCCUCCACCUUCCCACCACUGCUUGCCUGUGCAAUGCUCCCAAGACAUGGGGGUGGUUUGUGAAGGACAAAUUCUCUGCAGGUCUCACCUUCAGCUAUGACUUCCAUGCCCUUGGCAAUAACCUGGACGGACAAAGCAGAGCCCAUGAAGAUGAGGGAUGAUCACAGGCCUGCUGUACAAGGCGCUGUAUGCCUGAGUUAGCACUCUCGGAGCCACAGUUUGGUGCCAAAUUCCUGAGAGGGGUUUUAUCUGAGGGUGUCUGUUCCCUGUGAAUGAGCUCUCCGGUUCACCAUCGCCUAGGGGAGGCCUGAUCAUUCUCAGUGUGAUGCCCAUGCUGGUAGGGUGUCUGGCAUCUGGAGUCGCGGGACAAAGUGCCAGGUGGGAGACUGCUCACAAAGGCUGUGGUAGGCUUCAGGCAUACCCUGGUUGAUCUCAAAACGUGAGCAGAAUAUUUUCAGGCUUAACUAGCAGAGUGAUGACAAGGUCAGUCCCAACAAGAAUCACUAGGUGUCUAAUACCCUGGGCAUAAAUUAGCAUCAUCAGUUCAAACACCUCGAAAAUUAGAAGUAAAUUACUUCAGACACUUAGGACAGAUGGCAUCCACACACCAGGCAGAGCCAGAAAACCCAGCUGUCAGAGCAUCGCCAGGCCCUCCCUCUCCUGUGAGCUGGGGCCCAGCAGUGACAUGGUGGGACUAUUGCUUGGUGCUGAUGUGUGUUCCCUGAACCUCCCUGAGCAGCAGAGAGGAGUGGGGGAAGAAAAAGUGAUUUGUGCCUGAGAACAGGUGAUUUCUCUGGACAUCCUCUUUCAGCUUCAUCCAGAGCACAAGCAGCAAAGAGAAAAACUUGUUCAGUAACCCAGCCUCCUGCUGAGUCCUCCUACAGUGAUAUAAAUAUGGCUGGAAAAUGUCUGUACUGUUUAUUACUUUGAAGUUAACUGUGCACCAGCUAUUUUCAGAAACAUGGGAGAAGUAAUGCCUUCUGCCUGGCUUGGAGCUGCUAGGUCAUCUGACAAAUUUCCCUUUCCCUGUCCCCCUGCAUUUUUAUACACACAUGGAAAUGCAGACACGGAGAUUUUAAUGUAUAUAUUAAAAGUAGACUGAAAGUUCACUUGCUGUUUGGAGAUGUGUGGCACAGAAAUAAAUCACAGAGGGGAGAAAGGAAGGCACGUGUGCUGUUUCCUGGCAGCCUUGGUUUGCUUGGGGCUACAAAACAGAGCGAGGCACAGCUCCUGCCCCACAGCCUGAACAGGCAGGCAGGUGGAUGUGGGUCAAACCCUAGGGGCAAAAUGACCAUCCAUAUUUUUUCUGGGGGUUUGACAGGGUUUUUAAGGAGUGUUUAGGGAGUAGCUUGAGGGGGAGCAAUGAAAUGCUGACAGCUUCAAGUGGGGAGAGGGCUGGUUUCUCCUCUCCCUGAGGUUAUGUGGCUGAACAGGGGCUGCAUCUUUGAAGGUGCUCGUGGAUGUUCUGGAAGCAACAGAGGGAAGGACACAGAGGACAACCAGGUCAGCUCCCUGCCUCGAUGAGCUGUGUGAAGGUGUUUUGACACAUCAGCUUCAAACAGCCAGCCGAAGUGUAUCAAGACUUUAAAGAAAGCCCAAGGUUAAGGAAUAUUAUCGAGCUCUUUUGUUUCCCAUGUGUUGGGUUGCUAUUGUUUGCUUUCUGACCUUUAUUACAUACAACAAAAAAAGCCCUUGAAAAGGUGAUUUGGGCCAUGAGAAAUCAAGGUGCUGUUAUCUCAGUCAGUGAGAUAUCGGACUUAGCAGAUAGCAGAAGGCACCAGGGACUGCUCCCCAGCCUGAUGUCACCAAGAACAAGCUAGCUCUGUGUGGUGACACUUUUCAGAUUUCUACCUUUUCCUUAGAAGGCGGGAGGGGACAUGGGGACAAGGCUGACUGCAUCACUCAGGCCCUAGGAGAGCAGCCAUGUGCUGAGAACACAAACUGCUCAUUUCACUCAUUACCAUCAUCCAUGCCUUUCCAGACAUCCUAUGGAUGGACAACUACAGGGCAAUUCUGCACUGCCUUGAGAGGGCUUUGUGUGCAGGCCCAUGCACGUGGACAGAAGAGCUCUACCAGGGAGGAUGGCAGUGCCUGGGGUUGUCCUAAUUGAGUGUUAAUGGGUCCCAUUUGGGAGACAGGCUCAGCUGGGUGACAAUUACCCUAAUUGAGAAGAAGCUCUGGUUGGGUCCUUGGAGGGUGCUGGUUCCUCACUGAGGAGGCUGGGAAAGGAAAUAGCUGUUGUUUAAAAGGGGGGAAGGUUGUGGUUAUUGAUUUUUUCCUUUUCCCUGUUAUGAUUUAGAAAUAUGCUGCAAAGCAAGUGGAAGGAUUAAAAACCAAAAGAUAGCUCUGUGAGGGGUGGGGAAUGGGGCUGCAGUGGAGCACACAAAACUGCUUAGAAUAAAUAUCUUCAGCAUGGAGGGAAGCUGUCUGGUGCAGUUGUCUUUGAGGAGUUCCUCAGAAAACAAGGCAUAUCGUCGUUAGCCAAGCGUUCUCCAUGUGAAGGAACACAGCUCCACGGAAAAAAAGGUCUGGAAAUCAGACAUCCUAAGGACCUUACAGAGCCUCUUAGGAGCGUGUGGGCUCCUGGCCCUGGUGAAGCAGAAGCUGCCUGCAGGCAGAGCAACCCCCACUUGGACAGCUCGAUGAAGACAUCACUCGUCAGGCACCAGCCCUCUGCAGGUGUUUGCAAUAUUGGCAACCUACGUGGGUCCCCUUCGAGGCUGAUGGCACCACCAGCUGGUCUCCGCUCUCGGUGAUGGAGGCUGGGGUUGGUGCUGGUGGCUGGAGCCCAGCUUGGAGCUUUCCCCUCGUGUGGGUGUGUGUACGCGUCCCUACGGUCCGAGCAAGUCUGUUCCUGCUGGGGAGAUCAGUGUCAAAAGUGUAUUUUGUAAGAGCUGGCCGGCCUCCCGUUUCCACAUUGCUAACCAAAAGCACAGGGCGAGGAGCCGAGGGAAGGGAGGACGUGCUGCAGAACCCUUGGCACAAGGAGCCCCUCAGGGAGAUGAGGCAGAGGUUUGUCUGGGUAGGCUGGGCACUGAGGGACAGCAUGGACAUCGUGUGACUGUAGAGGUAAGGAGCUGGAAAACCCCCUGCUGGGGGAUGGGGACCAGCUCCAAAAGGCUUCUGCUCCCCCAGUGCUUACAAGACAGGAGCAAGUAUGGACAUGUGGGAUCUAGCUCCGUCUCUCCCUUUUGUCUCUGUGCAAAUCUUACCUUCUCCAACCCUCCCGAUGCUUACAGCAAGGAGGUUUUUUUUAUUAUUUUUUUCCCCUGAAGUGCCUGAACACCUGAGGCUGAAAAUCCUGUUCUCACCUCAGCCUCCCCUUCUUGUUCCCAUAGCGUUGUGCUUGCAGGCAUCUCAGGGUGCCUGGAGCAGCUGGGGUCUGGAUGUGGUAGCGAGGUCCCUCUGAAGGGACCAUGCUGGGUCCUGCCCCUGCACUGCCCUGGUCAGGGAGCAACCUGCUGGCUAAGGCUCUUCUACAGGGAACGUGUCAGUCCCCAUAAACCCAGGUAGGACUGAUGGUGUCUCCUUCGAUCAUCAUCCUUGGGGUGAGAAGUUACUAUCUUUGGCAUUCAUAAUUUUGUCCAGUGAAAACUAUCCUCUGGGGUAUUCCAAACAUUACUGUAAGCAUUAUAUGGCUGGGCAUGGGGUCUUUGCACCCAUCCUGCCCUUUUCAGUCUUUUCUACACUUGCUCUCCUUGCUGGGGUGGCAGAAAGGAGGAAGGUGUGAAACUGGCUUUGUGAACCUUGAGGUAGAUGUGGGCACCACGCUGGGGUGCCUGGCCUGCCUCUGUUAGCAGGAGGAAAGCAGCAAGGGAUGGAGAGUGUGACUUGUUCCCCUCAGUGCAUUAACCCAUCCCUCUGCUUUUCAGGUUGUAUGUUCUGGGGUGGGGGUGAGGGGCGACAAACAGCCAAAAGUGGCCCUCGGGGGAAACAGGACACCUGUGGUGGAAGCAGCUUUCAGAUCCUAGCCAUUGCCUGGUGUUUUUUUCUUCACAUUUUUCUCCAGGUCUCUUUUCUGUCAAGCCCAGAAAAAUGGUAUUUAAUCUGCAGCUCGAGUGCACAGAUGGAAUAAAUAGACUCUCUCAGGCCUCGAGCAGUGGAGAUUUAAGAUGAAUAAAAACAAGAGUUUGCAGAAGAUGGGCUGAAGACUUCACUGUAGUUCUGGAGGAUGCACAAAACUCCUUUCCAGCAAAGUGGUGCUUGGAAGGCUGUAAAUGAUCCACAAGGAAUUAACAGACAAAAGUCCCUGGCACUGCUCCACCCUAUUGAAGGCAAUGGCAAAUCUCCCAUUUACUUCAGUGGAAGUAACAAUUAGAUAUUCCCCAUGCUGAUCAUUCAGGGCUCUCAAGAGGCUGGUGGGAGGAUGUUGCCAUCUCAGAAGCACCAAUGUCUCCUCCUACCAGGAGCAUGGAGGGAUUGUGUCCCCGGCGGGACAAGGGUAUCCUGAAGAUGACAUGCUGAGAGUUCAGCUAGCAGCAUCCUGGGCCUGGCUGAGCUCUCCGGAUGAACAAAAGCCAUGUUCCUGCAUGAAGCUCAUUGUGAGAUUUGGCUGGGUUUCCUCUCCGUCAGUGUUUGCAGAACUUAAGUGCUGGUGCUCGGAGCUGCUGCCCCCCCUCAGAAGACCCCUCAGCAGUAGGCUCGCUGGGAGCUGCGCUGCCAGGGCACACAGAGGUCUUGGGCACUAGCAGCGCUGCCGACUGGGGACCCUGAUUCAGCAAGAAAGAGGAAGAGACUUGGAUCUAAUCCUCAGCUUGUCUCUUUUUCUUCUGUGGAUCGAGCCAGAAGGAUCUGGCUGGCUGAGAGGCCUUGCUUUCACCUGGAUGCAACCUUGCCAUCAAGUUCAUCCCUGCAGUGCCCAGCAGCAACCACUGAACCCUGGCUCUCCAGCCUCCUCUCCCAGAUCUGCAGCCCUCCACGAAGGACACAGAAUUUCAGUGAAAGUGCUGCUUUGCCUCACUCUGAAUUUUAUAUCCCAGCUAGCAUAUGAUGAUGAGAUAGAAAAGACUGAGACCUGCCAAAACAAAUCCUCGUUGAAAGCCUGCUUGGAGCUUUAGAAAUGAUUUGAAGAACUUAUCUGAGUUGAAUUAGCUUGCUUAAUCACAGCGACACUUUGGCUGAAGACGUUCCCUCGUCACGGAUGCACUGCAGGCUGCGUGGUGUAAUUCAGAGACAGGGACUGGAUGAGAACAGCGAGUCCCCGCGUUCGUACCGCCGUCUGAACACCCUCAGCUUGCCAGACCGAUGCGUUUCAUCAAAGCGGACUUCUCUGUCACAGUGUAAUAGCUGACAGCGAGGUGUGAGCCUGUAGCUGCAAGUGUAUUUAGAAGAGAAAGUAAUGCAUUUGCCAUAUGGUAGAAAUCGAUGUCUGGUAAUAGAUGUUUCAUAUAUUCCAAGAACAUCAUUUGCUCCGAAUGAAAAUUCAUACUCUUUAACUCUUUUUUAGCUGGCGGCCUGCUUUUCAAGGCAAGGUCUUGGCUAAUUCUGCUUUGUGCAGGAUGGUUCUGCUUUCCCUGAGGUCUCAGUGCUGAGUGCUGCAGCCUUCCUCUGCCAGUGCCCUCCAUGGCCUCAGCUUCAUGUUGCCUUCAUCCGUGGUGCCCAGGGAGCUAAAGGUGGAGAGCAAGGCUUUGUCACAGGCUCAGAGCACUCCAGGACUGUGCCCAUUUCAUCCAAUGCUUAUUUGGAAGAAGCAGAGACAUUACAGCAUUAUUGCAUAACUCAAUAUUUCACUGGGUUUGGAGUUUCAUGUCCUGAUGUUUCAUUGAAAAAAAAUAAAAAAAUCUUUUGUUUUAAAAGUUUUAGAGUGCCCUGCUCUGUACUGUUCCAAAGAGCCAAGAAGAUGAAACUUCUUAAAGUUGUUCAGAAAAAGCUAUUUUUGUCCACAUACAAAUUGCUGUAUAAAUAAAAAUAAUUCUUUAUCUUGAA